GGCUCAGUAGCUCAGCGGUAGAGCAGCGGACUCAUAAGCCGUUGGUCGUUGGUUCAAAUCCGACCUGAGCCA
rnacentral:tRNA from 2 species